rnacentral:lncRNA from 1 species
AUUCUAUCCAUAUUAUGCCCUCUUUCUUGUAAGGUAUGUCCAAUUGCCACCUGGUGUUAGAAUUUAGGGUAUCAAAAAGCCAGUUUCCUCAGUUUUUUUCCCCCUGAUGGUGCUCAGCUAUUUAACAUGAGAGAAAACAGUCCUCCAGUUGAAGAGGCAUGGACUGGGAGCUGCCAAAAUAAGGACAAUCCCCAAUUAACACUCUGAGCACAAGAGUCAAGAAUCUUCCCUCACUGGGUCGUUUGAGGUUCAAGAACUAUGAAAUGAAGAAUGUAAGGCCUAUUAAAAACAAUGGGUUUUCUGGUCAGUCA